rnacentral:lncRNA from 1 species
CUAAAAAUAUGUAAACAUAUGCAAGUUUUUUUUUCUAACGGGGAUUUUGAUUUUCCCGUCCAUGCCCUUUGGCUUUUCCUUCAUUUUUUUUGGAAAACUGAUGCCCACGUGUUUCAAAGGGAUCUCAAAGAUGAAAAUGGAGAGAUGUCAUGAUGGUGAUGUAAGGAGUAAAACUGUGUAUGGGGAUGCGCAAACCUCAGGGUGAGAGUUUGGCAUACUUAUUUGGUGGAAGCUAAGGUGCAACUCUCAGGGUAAGAGUUGGCAUAUAUUUUUUUGGUGGAUGGAAGGGUGCAUGUUGUGCGCAACUUCUCAGUGUGAGAGUCGGCUUUAUUUAGUGGGUGC